rnacentral:lncRNA from 1 species
CUGGAUUUGGAAUCAGGAUAUCUAGGUUGGAAUUCUGCUUCUGCAAUUUCCCAGCCUUCUGGAAUCUGAGCAAGUCACCUUAACCUCACCAGACCUCAAUUUCCUUGUCUGCAAAUUUAGGAGCCUGGAUGAGGUCCAGCCCCGCUUAGAAGGCCAAUCUUCCCUCUUUGUAAAGGGGUGAAUCGUUCAAACCUGGCCUCAGACACUUCCCAGCUGUGUUAUCCUGGGCAAGUCAUUUAACCCCCAUUGUCUAGCUCUUGCCACUCUUCCGCCUUGGAACCAAUAAGCAGUAUUAGUUCUAAGAUAGAAGGUACUAGUUUAAGAAAAACUUUCAAAGGAAUCAUGGAAUCGUUUUGAACACUUCUAAUGAUGGGGGACUCACUAUCUCCACUCCAAGCUUUGAGACCUGUCAGAAGGUCAGGGUUUUAAAGAAAAAGAAAAAGGUUUCAAAAAGUAGAAAAGAACGUGACUAAUCUGGGCUUUUUGGGAAGUCCUCUAACAUUCACCCCUGAGAGGCAGAAAAUGUGGAAAUUCACUGCAAGGAGCCAUCAAAGACCACACUGUUUGACACGGUCACACAUGGAAACUGGGGACUGCAAAGCAGCCCCCAGGAAGGAUGGAAACAUCCGCUGAAACCCCACUAUGUGACUUUCCUUAUUAACAUCCCC